CCAACACCACUUCAGCUUCUGCCAGACAGAUGGAACUCUCCAACAUGAAAACCUGCACAACCAUUCCAACAAGCAGGACUCUGCCUGAGGUUGUCUCAAGGAUGCCGAAGAAAAAGACUUGUGGUCUGGGAGCGCUCUUACUCCGACAUUGAGGUGUCUCACUGGUUUGCACAAUGAAGAUUGAUACCAUGAUCAUCCUACUUGCAUCAAAGGACAAUUAUUCAUCGGUGUGCUGUUAUCAAGCAGAGAUUUCCAAAUAUUAGUUCUUUAACUCAAAGAAAAGUAGCUGCAUUCAGGCAGAAAGGCAUGUGGGAACCCCUAAGUGUGUAUGAUUUGUCUCCCGACAAAGUUGCUUCAGCAUUUUUGUUUGUUUGUUUUUUAAAUGCUUCUCUCUGUAGUAUCCUCCAGACUCUAAACUACUAGAUGGGUUCCUAAGUUCCUUCAGAUGUGUCCCAAGUCAGAAUUCUUUAUCCACUUCCCACCCUCUAGCUCCAUGGAUU